UCACUGUUUCUCACAGAUCAGUACUCCGGAGAGUCUGGGUGGAGUUUGGAAGGUGCACCUUUGGCAUGAUAAUGGAGGUUCUUCUCACAGCUGGUAGCUGAGUCAUGUGGUCUUGCUGGUUGUUCAUGGGCCAGUGUUGGCUGGCAGUGGAUGUGGGAGAUGGAAAGUUCGAGAGAAGUCUCACUGGAUCUGAAUGCAGCCUGACAUUUAAACAGAAUAUCUGGAGGACUUUCAUCCGUUGCUGUCUGUCUACAGACGCCCGUCUUACAGCACAUAUACACACUCUCAGCAUUCAAGUGUGUGCAUGCUGCUUCUGCAGGGCUACAUGUGUGUCAGCGCAUUGCUCAUAAAUCUUUGGGAGGAACAGGUGUUUAACACAGAAAUUCAAUACAAUUCUUCUAUGUCAAGAUGUGCGUGAUUGUGCUAAUUUUAUUUGAAUUUCCCCAUAUUGAGCCAUGUCUUUUAUGUUUUCUAUUGUGCACAAAUUGGUAGCAUUAAUAGAGAUGGGCCUUAUUGACGUCUCACCAGUCUCCAUGGUAACAGGCAUGUGCAGUGUUCUCGCUGUGAUGCUGGUAGGGUGUCUGGUGUCCCUGGUGUUCCGUGUCAGCAAGGUCAGAAUUCCCAGGCUGCCUGAAAUUAUUCCUAAGUUUCUUCUUGACACACAGUUACAUAGUGGAUAUAGGAUCCAUUAGUGGAUAUAGGAUCCAAAUUCAGAGUAUUCAGAUUCUAUACGCUAUUGAUCUAUUUUGUAGACAAGCAGAUCCAACGGUGUGCCAGGAGAGCAAUAUAAAGUCAAAGUGUCUGAUAUCUACCCUGUAGAAGGUAUAUUUUUAAGUAUGUAUCAUUUUGUAUUCUACCAUUAUUUAAAUUAGUUUUAUGCAAAUCACUCUGUAUUUGUUUGUUUGCUUCAUAUACCACUACUGAUGAAUGAUUGUGCAUUUGAGUCUUCUCUGUUCAGAAAUACAGUCUCCCAUGGGACUCGGGGCUCAUGGAGAAAGGAAAAUAAGUGUCAUCCUCAGGAUCACAAGACAUCUGAUUCAGUGUCUGCAUCAAAACUGCAAGGGGACUCUGACUCAAUCUUUGAGACUGUAAAACAUUCAAUGCCUGAUGUCAACAACAGAUCACAUGACAUAAGCAAAUGGAAUCAAUUUGAUCUCAUUCCAUGCAGUUCUGCAGAUUUUUUUUUGUGAGCACCCACCUUCCAGAAAACCAGCAAGAUUGUGGUGGUAGAAUCAGUAAUCUUCAAUCCUGGUGUUAUUGUGUGGGCUGGACCCUUUGCCUGUCCAUCUCUCUAGCAUGCAUCAUCCUCACUGGGACUCUUGGAAUUAAGUGGAACUGGACAGCAACCACAUUAAUGGAGAGACUGUACCACAAAGGCAACUGCACUAAAGGGACAGAAGAGGUGCUUACUAUCUUAUUGGGAGUCCAAUCAUUAGAAAGACUGAGAGCUCACAUAACUCAUCAUGCCAGGCACCUGGUGUUAUAGUUGCAGUGGCCGUCUCCUGUUUGUGGACCAUGAGCGUUCAUUAAUUCCCAUUUACUCUCAGCAGCUUCAUGAGAUCUGUUUAUUUGGUCUUCACUUGCUUCUUUAGCAUGAGCGGCUUCAGUGAAAUUUAUCACCAAACCCAAUUCCAUUGACACUUUACGUUUGUGCUUUAUUUUGCACUAUG